rnacentral:rRNA from 1 species
UACGGAGGGGGCUAGCGUUGUUCGGAAUUACUGGGCGUAAAGCGCGCGUAGGCGGUUCCAGCAGUCGGGCGUGAAAGCCCCGGGCUCAACCCGGGAAUAGCGCACGAUACUUUGGAGCUAGAGUCCGGGAGAGGAGAGUGGAAUUCCCAGUGUAGAGGUGAAAUUCGUAGAUAUUGGGAAGAACACCGGUGGCGAAGGCGGCUCUCUGGACCGGUACUGACGCUUAGGCGCGAAAGCGUGGGGAGCAAAC